CCAAUAGCGUAUAUUAAAGUUGUUGCAGUUAAAAAGCUCGUAGUUGAAUUUCGGGAUUAGUACGUUGGUCGUGCCUUCGGUACGUACUGGUGUUACUGAUUCCUACCUUCUGAAGAACCAUCAUGUCAUUAAUUUGGUGUGGCGGGGAAUCAGGACUGUUACUUUGAAAAAAUUAGAGUGUUUAAAGCAGGCUCGCGCUUGAAUACAUUAGCAUGGAAUAAUGAAAUAGGACGUUGACCCUAUUUUGUUGGUUUCUAGGAUUGACGUAAUGAUUAAUAGGGAUAGUUGGGGGCAUUAGUAUUCAAUUGUCAGAGGUGAAAUUCUUGGACUUAUUGAAGACUAACUACUGCGAAAGCAUUUGCCAAGGAUGUUUUCAUUAAUCAAGAACGAAAGUUAGGGGAUCGAAGACGAUCAGAUACCGUCGUAGUCUUAACCAUAAACUAUGCCGACUAGGGAUCGGAUGAUGUUAUUUUUAAUGACUCAUUCGGCGCCUUACG
rnacentral:rRNA from 1 species